GAAGGCAUCUUUUUAUUUUUAAAAGACCUAGCAAUAGGUAUGCUUAGGGAAGAGCUUGCGUCACAUUAGUUAGUUGGUGGGGUAAUGGCCUACCAAGACGAUGAUGUGUAGCCGGGCUGAGAGGUCGAACGGCCACAUUGGGACUGAGACACGGCCCAAACUCCUACGGGAGGCAGCAGUAAGGAAUUUUCGGCAAUGGAGGAAACUCUGACCGAGCAAUGCCGCGUGAACGAUGAAGUAUUUCGGUACGUAAAGUUCUUUUAUUAGGGAAGAAAAGAUGGUGGAAAAACCAUUAUGACGGUACCUAAUGAAUAAGCCCCGGCUAACUAUGUGCCAGCAGCCGCGGUAAUACAUAGGGGGCAAGCGUUAUCCGGAAUUAUUGGGCGUAAAGGGUGCGUAGGCGGUUAAAUAAGUUUAUGGUCUAAGUGCAACGCUCAACGUUGUGAUGCUAUAAAAACUGUUUAGCUAGAGUUGGAUAGAGGCAAGUGGAAUUCCGUGUGUAGUGGUAAAAUGCGUAAAUAUACGGAGGAACACCAGAAGCGAAGGCGGCUUGCUGGGUCUUAACUGACGCUGAGGCACGAAAGCGUGGGGAGCAAACAGGAUUAGAUACCCUGGUAGUCCACGCCCUAAACGAUGAGUACUAAACGUUGGAUAAAACCAGUGUUGAAGUUAACACAUUAAGUACUCCGCCUGAGUAGUACGUACGCAAGUAUGAAACUUAAAGGAAUUGACGGGACUCCGCACAAGCGGUGGAUCAUGUUGUUUAAUUCGAAGGUACCCGAAAAACCUCACCAGGUCUUGACAUGCUUUUGCAAAGCUGUAGAAAUACAGUGGAGGUUAUCAGAAGCACAGGUGGUGCAUGGUUGUCGUCAGCUCGUGUCGUGAGAUGUUGGGUUAAGUCCCGCAACGAGCGCAACCCUUGUUGUUAAUUGCCAUCAUUAAGUUGGGGACUUUAGCAAGACUGCCAAUGAUAAAUUGGAGGAAGGUGGGGACGACGUCAAAUCAUCAUGCCCCUUAUGACCUGGGCUACAAACGUGAUACAAUGGCUGUUACAAAGGGUAGCUAAAGCGUAAGCUUCUGGCGAAUCUCAAAAAAGCAGUCUCAGUUCGGAUUGAAGUCUGCAACUCGACUUCAUGAAGUUGGAAUCGCUAGUAAUCGCGAAUCAGCA
rnacentral:rRNA from 1 species